UGAAACUGCAGCGUCAACCUAAGGGCAUCCAAGCAGAAGUGCUGGGGAACGGGAUUGGAAAUACCCAGAAACAAAGUCCUUGCCUAAACUCAGUGGAAACCUGUGUUCCUCCAGGAAAUGAAAAACAAUGGCAAAGUUACAUGAAUUUUGAAGCAUAAACAUAUUGCAAAAUUGAAAGAAAACAGAAUAUUCUAGAAUAAUGGCUUGGAAAUGAUCCUUGGUUCAGAGGGAAAGAAAGAAAGGAGUUGCAAUGCGUGAAGAAAUGCCAGCAGAGGCUGAUGCAUUGUCUUGGAGAGAUGGAGAGUGGAAUUUGUCAGGAUGUCUCUUGUACUAAUGCGGAAAAGUGCUGCAUGCAACACACGUGGAGAUUCAGUGACAAGAGAUUUAGACCAGUGUGUUCCUAACCAUCAGGUGGGAUGCCUACCACAGCAUGGCUUGCCAAGCGGUGCCAUGUCCACACCUGGGAUCCAAACCGUCGAACCCCGGGCCACCAAGUAGAACGUGCGAACUUAACUGCUGUGCCACCGGGCCGGCCCCCUUUUUUUUUUUAACAAGAAGAUAAACUAAUCUUUCAUAAAGACAGCGAUUUACCCAGCACAGUACCAUUAAACUUGAAGUCUGGCUAGAAAAUACUGUGGGAAGCUCACAUGAGCAACUGUAUAAACUUUCCAAGAUCUAAAAUCCAUAAGGAAAUCAAAGGUGAAACUCUGCAAAGAUAAAGGACUGAGCAUCUGAACAAGUGAGCAUCAACCAAGUUAUGCUGUGAUUACAAACAACCCUAAAAUCUCAGCAGCUUAAGACAAGAAAGGGUUAUUUUUUGCUCACACAAAAUGACCACUGAGGUUUGUCUGGGGGCUCCCUCAGGUACCCAGGCUAAAUCAG
rnacentral:lncRNA from 1 species